GUAUUCUGUGAAAGGAGAUAAGCUCAGCAUUCCUAUCGAUAAGGAUAGAAUCAGACCUAUUGACAUGUACCAUGCAGAUAUGGUUAAAGUAUUGUCAGUCUUUGUGUUUGU